UUUUUAUAUACAAAAUUUUACCUAAUAAUAAUAAUAAGAAUCAUCAUCGAGUGCUAGUAAUUUUAUUAGUUAUUUUUCAUUAAUGAUAUAAUUAUUUUUAAUUCAUUAUUAAGCAUUUUACUAAAAGUUCUGCGAUAUCUGCCUUGUAAACUGGAAUAGCUAUCUAAUCAAGUAUUAGAGGUAAAUUCAAUAUAUAAACCAGGGCAUUAAUCUCAAUCAAAAUCCAUCCUCCAUUAUUUACAUAACAUUUGAACUGCUUAGAUAAUAAGUGGACACUCACCAAAACAGUAAUUAGAUCUUCGAUUUUUAAUCUAACUUUCCCUUUGAUUUAAGUUAAUCAAUAAGCUAAUUCAACUAAGCUAACAUUUUAGUAAAUUUCUAUUUUAGCUAUACAUUUAGCUUAACUAAACCGAAACAAUAAAAUUAGACCAAUAAACUCUUAACCAAAUUCCAUCGGAAAUUUAGCAUCCAAGCCCAGGGAUCACCGAUAGAAAUUUCAUUAACACCGUUGCAUUGACCAAAUCGAGACGAGAAUUCUAUCUCCUAUGGCCUCACCAGAGUCUCGCCGGCCGCUCACUGAAAUGCCGACCGUCGAACACGGUGGUUGGAAAAUCGAAUAUUGCGGAACUGAGCAACACAUACACCAAAAUGCUCGAAAUCUCAUGGGGACUCAUAAUCCGUGAUGAAUUUGGACUAGGUGUGUCUCAUUUGGCUGAAAAUGGCCUCGACAGUAGCUUCACCACUGCCAUCCAUGGCGGUUUCACAUGCGAGCUUCGUUGACCGAAUUAACAUAGGGGAAUUGCUUGCAUGGGGCUGAGGAGCUAACUGAAUCCGUCUUCAUCGCGUAAAUCAGCCGGUAACGGCAAGAACUCGCUGGAGAGUGAGAUCGCAAACUGAAGAUAUUUCAAGUUUCAUUUUCUCUCGAUCCAGGCUUAAAUCGUGUGAAUUAGGACUUGGAUUGAACUUCUUACGACGAGUAGAGCACUUUAGAGUCCCUAAUCGUCUGAUUCCAUUGAGUUUGGUCGGAGAAAGGGAAGGAGGGAGGGCGCAGGAGCUGUUGGCGACGGGGAGAGAGAGGAUGAGGGAUUUGAGUUUGUUUUUAAGAAUAUAGUCUGAUUUGGUCCAAACCAAAUGGGUUCAGCUCGAUUUAGAUGGUUUUCGGAUUUUUAAUUCAACUGAUUUGCUUUUUGCAAAUAAUUUAAUAUUAUAAUAUAAUUUAAAUUUUCUAAUUUAAAUUUAAUUCAAAAUUUUUAAAAAUAAAAGAUAGAGUCCUUUCAUUUAGAUGGAACGCUUUCU
rnacentral:lncRNA from 1 species